rnacentral:tRNA from 1 species
GGAUUGUGGCUCAGUGGUAGAGCGCUUCCUAGCAUGUGUGAGGCACUAGGUUCAAUUCUCAGCACCA